UUUAGUCCUAACCUUGUAGUCAGUUAUUAUUUAACUUACACAUGCAAGAAUCCUCACCCCCGUGAAAACGCCCUCAACCCCUAAUAGGGAUAAGGAGCCGGUAUCAGGCACAACUAUUAGCCCAUAACACCUAGCUAUGCCACGCCCCCAAGGGUAUUCAGCAGUAAUUAACAUUGGACAUAAGCGCAAGCUUGAUCCAGUUAAAAUAAAGAGGGCCGGCAAAUGUGGUGCCAGCCGCCGCGGUUACACCACACGACCCAAAUUGACUUCUUAACGGCGUAAAGCGUGAUUAAAGUUAUUAACUAACUGUAGUUAAAUUGCUGAUCAAGCUGUUAAAUGCUUUUUCACCCAGAAAACCCAAAACGAAAGUUACUACACACUAAUCAACUUGAACUCACAACAGUUAGGACCCAAACUAGGAUCAGAUACCCUACUAUGCCUAACCGUAAACUUUUAACUUACACCAACAUCGCCAGGGAACUACGAGCAAAGCUUAAAACCCAAAGGACUUGACGGUACCCCAUAUCCACCUAGAGGAGCCUGUCCUUUAAAUCGACAACCCACGUUUUACCUCACCAUUUUUAGCCAUCAGUCUGUAUACCUCCGUCGUCAGCUCACCGCAUGAGCGCCAUGA
rnacentral:rRNA from 1 species